AGAGGUGAAGUUUCGCUGUUGCGCUGACAGGACUUCAUUCAUGAACUCAGGUGACUCCCCUGCCUCAGCCUCCUGAGCACCUGGAACAACAGAUUCAUCGCCAGUCAUUAAAAGAUUCCAGACAAUUCGCUGUACCUGCCAGCAGAGAGCCAGCUUCUCUGCAGGCUCUUCGGGGCUUAGAGGGAUGGAGGUUCCAGGGCCUUAUCCUUGGCUCUUCCUGGAAACCUGAACGCUGUACAGGAGGAUUAAACUGUACUUAAACCCCGAUUGUUGGAUGAGGUGGUACACUGUAGAAGAAAGUCGGUCAGCUUACCCAAGCCAAAGUUGCCUUGCCCAAACCAGGCCACAGGA